rnacentral:misc_RNA from 1 species
AUUCUAAACAAUCCCUACCCAUUUCUUCAAUCUCUUCCUCCACAUCUAUGCAGGACCCAAAAAGAUGGAUAAAGAAGAGGAAAGCAAGAAAAUUGGGAGAUAGAUAUAUGAAACUAGAAAGAGAAAAAGAAAUGGGUAGAGAGAGAAUUGAGAAAAUAAACCAAAAAAAAAAUACAAUAAAAUAAAUCACGCUACAUUAUGAUUUAAUUAAAGGUUCAAAAGAAGAAACCAAAAGCAAGAGCAACCAAAGAUGCAAAGAAUGUAGGAACAAAAACAGAGGCAUCAGAAGUUGGGCUUGGUGCUGGUGCAUCAGCUGCUGCAGCCAUUUGCAUGGUGGAGAAAGCCAUCAACACAACCAUCAAAACGACAAAAAGCUUCAUCUUCAUUGCUUCCAUUUCUUGGAAUUUUUUUUUUAUUUUUAGAGGAAAAUAAAAUUUUGAAAAGAGAAUUAGACUCUACAAUUCCUCUUUGAGAUUGAAUUAUAGUGUAUUGUAUAGAAAAGAGGAAUGGUAGAGAAGAAGCACAAUUUAGAGACAAGGGUUAGUGGCUUUAUGGAUGGUGGGUAUGUACUAUUUAUCUACGGGGACAGAAGGAAGAGGGAGAGAGUUGGGAGUUUAAGAGAGAGAAAGUGAACGUUGGGAGAGGGGCG